UGUCAAAAUUUUCAUUCAUUUCUAUUAUAAAAAACUGGUUUGGUUGACAGAAUAAUCAUAUGCCACUGUUACAUCAUGUUAAUGUACAAAAAUUAUUUUUUAACAAUAGAAAUGGAUGAAAUUUUUAAUA
rfam:Gossypium arboreum cultivar AKA8401 contig_6192_7, whole genome shotgun sequence.